rnacentral:rRNA from 1 species
UGUCUUGUAAUUGGAAUGAUGGGAAUUUAAACCUCUUCCAGAGUAUCAAUUGGAGGGCAAGUCUGGUGCCAGCAGCCGCGGUAAUUCCAGCUCCAAUAGCGUAUAUUAAAAUUGUUGCAGUUAAAAAGCUCGUAGUUGAAUUUCUGCUGCAUUGCUUUUGCUCCUUUACGAGUCUUUGCAUUGUGGCUUAUUUCGGACUUUGUUUUACAAUGUCCGGAUGUUUACUUUGAGAAAAUUAGAGUGCUCAAAGCAGGCUUUCGCCUUGAAUAGUUUAGCAUGGAAUAAUAAAGUAGGACUUUGGUUCUAUUUUGUUGGUUUUAGGUACCAAAGUAAUGGUUAAUAGGAACAGUUGGGGGCAUUCGUAUUUAACUGUCAGAGGUGAAAUUCUUAGAUUUGUUAAAGACGAACUACUGCGAAAGCAUUUGCCAAGGAUGUUUUCAUUAAUCAAGAACGAAAGUUAGGGGAUCGAAGACGAUCAGAUACCGUCGUAGUCCUAACCAUAAACUAUGCCGACUAGAGAUUGGAGGUCGUCAGUUUUUACGACUCCUUCAGCACCUUGAGAGAAAUCAAAGUCUUUGG